GCGUUGAUGGUUCAGCGGUAGAAUGUUGGCCAACCACGCAUGUGGACCAGGGUUAAAUCCCCUGCCGACGCA
rnacentral:tRNA from 1 species